rnacentral:misc_RNA from 1 species
UACGGAGGGAGCUAGCGUUGUUCGGAAAUACUGGGCGUAAAGCGAACGUAGGUGGCCAAGUAAGUCAGGGGUGAAAUCCCGGGGCUCAACCCCGGAACUGCCUUUGAAACUGCAUGGCUAGAAUCCUGGAGAGGCGAGUGGAAUUCCGAGUGUAGAGGUGAAAUUCGUAGAUAUUCGGAGGAACACCAGUGGCGAAGGCGGCUCACUGGACAAUUAUUGACGCUGAGGUGCGAAAGCGUGGGGAGCAAACAGG